AAUCAGUGACGGUAAGUGGUUUUAGAGAAAACAGCCCUGAGCACUGUUCCUUCUAAGAGGACUGUUACACCUUAAUAAAUUCUCUAGCUGUUUUUUGACUGUUUGCAGAUAACAGGAAACUCUUAUUCAAAAAUAUAUUAACCUCCCACCCCUACCCCCCAGCCAAUCAGCCCGGCAGCAUUUGAACUUGCUGGGGCACAUAGCCAAAGCAGCUUUUACUUGGUCUCAGCCAUUCCCCCCCCCCCCCCCCCCCCCCCCACACACACCUGUUCCUUCUCUGUAGGCUUCUGCUCGGGGUCAGGCAGCCUGGAACUGCAUUUGAAAUGAUUCUGAACAUAUAACAGGAAAGGAGUGUACACCCACCAAACAAGACCACGUAAGGAACACUGUGAUCGGUGCAUCUGUGCGGCUCACUCCGGAGUCCCAGCCCUCACCAGCUGCGUGGUGACAUCUCUUGGAAGGCAUUAUCUACCUUAACCCACGGUUCUGAGAUGCUGGGCAGGGGGACUGCCUUUGCCAUCUGGAGAGCCGCUACCUGUCCUGCUCCUUCCGGUGGCCCGAGAGAGGGUGCGAUUUUAAAAAAUUCAUAUAUGCAGAGAAGAAAAAUUUGACCCAGAGGAAAGGCCAUGUGAGAAGGUCGUUGUCUGCAAGCCAAGGAGAGAGACCUCAGAAGAAACCAAACCUGCUGACACCGUGACUUUGGGCCACCAGCUUCCAGAACAUUCCCAGGCCAAGGAUCAGAUCUGAACCGAAGUUGCAACCGACACCACCGCUGCUGGACCGGGCCAGGAUUGAACCUGCAUCCUGGCGCUGCAGAGAUGCUGCCGAUCCUGUUGCACCAUGGCGAGAACUCCCCCAUGGAAAGUUUUUUAAGCAAAAAGGAAAUCUUUGGGGUCAGAUGACUGGGGUAGCUUCUAACAACUGCAGAGUGAUUCCAGGCACCAGGGCCUCACCUGCGAGGUCCUCGUACCACACUCUCUCGCUGAGGCCCUUGGCCUGGUUUGUGCAGAGAAAACGACCACUAAGAGAAUGCCAGAGUCUCUUUGCCCAAAAAAAGGACAUCUCCCAUCGCAGAUGCUCGCUUUGCAAUGUGACUUUGGCGUUCCUCACGGUGGGAGCCGGGGUCUAUGUUUUCUGCAUUUGAAUCUGGGUGGACCCGUGACUAUAGUGGAACUGGCCCUACAUGACUUCCAAGGCUGGGUCACGAAGGACGACACAGUUGCGGCCUGGUUUGCUGGCACAUUGCCUUUGGAGUCCUGAGCUGAGCUGCCCAGGCAGGAGCCCGAGGCUGCCAUGCUGUCCCAUGAAAGUGUUCUGACCUAGAGCCCCAGCUGAAGGCCCAUCGAGCAGCCAGCAUCAACCACCUCAUAUGAGUGAAGCUGCCUCCACGGACUCUGGUCCCCUGCUAUUGAGUUCUCCCUGUAGAGGCCCCAGGUAUUGGGGAGCAGGGACACGUCCUCCCCAGUGCGCCCUGUCAGAAUUCCUGCCCUGCAGAAUCUGCGCGCAUGAUAAAAUGGUAGUUUUAGGCUCCGC
rnacentral:lncRNA from 1 species